rnacentral:rRNA from 2 species
UUAAGCGACUAAGCGUACACGGUGGAUGCCCUGGCAGUCAGAGGCGAUGAAGGACGUGCUAAUCUGCGAUAAGCGUCGGUAAGGUGAUAUGAACCGUUAUAACCGGCGAUUUCCGAAUGGGGAAACCCAGUGUGAUUCGUCACACUAUCAUUAACUGAAUCCAUAGGUUAAUGAGGCGAACCGGGGGAACUGAAACAUCUAAGUACCCCGAGGAAAAGAAAUCAACCGAGAUUCCCCCAGUAGCGGCGAGCGAACGGGGAGCAGCCCAGAGCCUGAAUCAGUGUGUGUGUUAGUGGAAGCGUCUGGAAAGGCGCGCGAUACAGGGUGACAGCCCCGUACACAAAAAUGCACAUACUGUGAGCUCGAUGAGUAGGGCGGGACACGUGGUAUCCUGUCUGAAUAUGGGGGGACCAUCCUCCAAGGCUAAAUACUCCUGACUGACCGAUAGUGAACCAGUACCGUGAGGGAAAGGCGAAAAGAACCCCGGCGAGGGGAGUGAAAAAGAACCUGAAACCGUGUACGUACAAGCAGUGGGAGCACAGAGCAAUCUGUGUGACUGCGUACCUUUUGUAUAAUGGGUCAGCGACUUAUAUUCUGUAGCAAGGUUAACCGAAUAGGGGAGCCGAAGGGAAACCGAGUCUUAACUGGGCGUUAAGUUGCAGGGUAUAGACCCGAAACCCGGUGAUCUAGCCAUGGGCAGGUUGAAGGUUGGGUAACACUAACUGGAGGACCGAACCGACUAAUGUUGAAAAAUUAGCGGAUGACUUGUGGCUGGGGGUGAAAGGCCAAUCAAACCGGGAGAUAGCUGGUUCUCCCCGAAAGCUAUUUAGGUAGCGCCUCGUGAAUUCAUCUCCGGGGGUAGAGCACUGUUUCGGCAAGGGGGUCAUCCCGACUUACCAACCCGAUGCAAACUGCGAAUACCGGAGAAUGUUAUCACGGGAGACACACGGCGGGUGCUAACGUCCGUCGUGAAGAGGGAAACAACCCAGACCGCCAGCUAAGGUCCCAAAGUCAUGGUUAAGUGGGAAACGAUGUGGGAAGGCCCAGACAGCCAGGAUGUUGGCUUAGAAGCAGCCAUCAUUUAAAGAAAGCGUAAUAGCUCACUGGUCGAGUCGGCCUGCGCGGAAGAUGUAACGGGGCUAAACCAUGCACCGAAGCUGCGGCAGCGACGCUUAUGCGUUGUUGGGUAGGGGAGCGUUCUGUAAGCCUGUGAAGGUGUACUGUGAGGUAUGCUGGAGGUAUCAGAAGUGCGAAUGCUGACAUAAGUAACGAUAAAGCGGGUGAAAAGCCCGCUCGCCGGAAGACCAAGGGUUCCUGUCCAACGUUAAUCGGGGCAGGGUGAGUCGACCCCUAAGGCGAGGCCGAAAGGCGUAGUCGAUGGGAAACAGGUUAAUAUUCCUGUACUUGGUGUUACUGCGAAGGGGGGACGGAGAAGGCUAUGUUGGCCGGGCGACGGUUGUCCCGGUUUAAGCGUGUAGGCUGGUUUUCCAGGCAAAUCCGGAAAAUCAAGGCUGAGGCGUGAUGACGAGGCACUACGGUGCUGAAGCAACAAAUGCCCUGCUUCCAGGAAAAGCCUCUAAGCAUCAGGUAACAUCAAAUCGUACCCCAAACCGACACAGGUGGUCAGGUAGAGAAUACCAAGGCGCUUGAGAGAACUCGGGUGAAGGAACUAGGCAAAAUGGUGCCGUAACUUCGGGAGAAGGCACGCUGAUAUGUAGGUGAAGUCCCUCGCGGAUGGAGCUGAAAUCAGUCGAAGAUACCAGCUGGCUGCAACUGUUUAUUAAAAACACAGCACUGUGCAAACACGAAAGUGGACGUAUACGGUGUGACGCCUGCCCGGUGCCGGAAGGUUAAUUGAUGGGGUCAGCGCAAGCGAAGCUCUUGAUCGAAGCCCCGGUAAACGGCGGCCGUAACUAUAACGGUCCUAAGGUAGCGAAAUUCCUUGUCGGGUAAGUUCCGACCUGCACGAAUGGCGUAAUGAUGGCCAGGCUGUCUCCACCCGAGACUCAGUGAAAUUGAACUCGCUGUGAAGAUGCAGUGUACCCGCGGCAAGACGGAAAGACCCCGUGAACCUUUACUAUAGCUUGACACUGAACAUUGAGCCUUGAUGUGUAGGAUAGGUGGGAGGCUUUGAAGUGUGGACGCCAGUCUGCAUGGAGCCGACCUUGAAAUACCACCCUUUAAUGUUUGAUGUUCUAACGUUGACCCGUAAUCCGGGUUGCGGACAGUGUCUGGUGGGUAGUUUGACUGGGGCGGUCUCCUCCUAAAGAGUAACGGAGGAGCACGAAGGUUGGCUAAUCCUGGUCGGACAUCAGGAGGUUAGUGCAAUGGCAUAAGCCAGCUUGACUGCGAGCGUGACGGCGCGAGCAGGUGCGAAAGCAGGUCAUAGUGAUCCGGUGGUUCUGAAUGGAAGGGCCAUCGCUCAACGGAUAAAAGGUACUCCGGGGAUAACAGGCUGAUACCGCCCAAGAGUUCAUAUCGACGGCGGUGUUUGGCACCUCGAUGUCGGCUCAUCACAUCCUGGGGCUGAAGUAGGUCCCAAGGGUAUGGCUGUUCGCCAUUUAAAGUGGUACGCGAGCUGGGUUUAGAACGUCGUGAGACAGUUCGGUCCCUAUCUGCCGUGGGCGCUGGAGAACUGAGGGGGGCUGCUCCUAGUACGAGAGGACCGGAGUGGACGCAUCACUGGUGUUCGGGUUGUCAUGCCAAUGGCACUGCCCGGUAGCUAAAUGCGGAAGAGAUAAGUGCUGAAAGCAUCUAAGCACGAAACUUGCCCCGAGAUGAGUUCUCCCUGACUCCUUGAGAGUCCUGAAGGAACGUUGAAGACGACGACGUUGAUAGGCCGGGUGUGUAAGCGCAGCGAUGCGUUGAGCUAACCGGUACUAAUGAACCGUGAGGCUUAACCUU